UCACAGCCAGUGAAGCCAACCAUGCUCUCCUCCCCAGGGACCCCAGUGCAGUGGUUACAAACAGCCUCCUGGGUGAUGUCUGCAGGCUGUUGCUUUGCUUGCACAGGUUGUCCUCAGGGACCUUGGAGACAGGC